GAUGAAGAACGUAGUGAAAUGCGAUAAGUAAUGUGAAUUGCAGAAUUCAGUGAAUCAUCGAAUCUUUGAACGCACAUUGCGCCCGCCAGUAUUCUGGCGGGCAUGCCUGUCUGAGCGUCAUUUCAACCCUCGAACCCCUCCGGGGGGUCGGCGUUGGGGAUCGGCCCUUUACGGGGCCGGCCCCGAAAUACAGUGGCGGUCUCGCCGCAGCCUCUCCUGCGCAGUAGUUUGCACACUCGCAUCGGGAGCGCGGCGCGUCCACAGCCGUUAAACACCCCAAACUUCUGAAAUGUUGACCUCGGAUCAGGUAGGAAUACCCGCUGAACUUAAGCAUAUCAAUAAGCGGAGGA
rnacentral:misc_RNA from 1 species